rnacentral:rRNA from 1 species
UACAGAGGUCUCAAGCGUUGUUCGGAUUCAUUGGGCGUAAAGGGUGCGUAGGUGGCGCGCUAAGUCAGGUGUGAAAUUUCGGAGCUUAACUCCGAAACUGCAUUUGAUACUGGCGUGCUUGAGGACUGGAGAGGAGACUGGAAUUCAUGGUGUAGCAGUGAAAUGCGUAGAGAUCAUGAGGAAGACCAGUGGCGAAGGCGGCAUCCUGGACCGACACUGACGCUGAGGAGCGAAAGCCAGGGGAGCAAACGGG